GGUUUAGUGUCUUCUCUGUUGUGCAAAUGAACUGAGAACUAGAAAAGUCCCUCUGUCUGGAAACUCUGACUUACUGGCGGGCCUACUUGGGGCUCGAGCUUUCAAACAGGAAGUAGCAGCUGCUGUUGGAAGAUCCGACGUCAGGCAGAUGGAUUCCCCAACAGUGGCACCUGCCCUUGUGGUCACCCAGAUACCAACUGCAUAGUGUAGCAAAGAGGCGCUGAGACUCAGUGAAGGACAACCCAACCAGAAUUCCUCGGUGAUGGAUGUUUCAGACCAACUGAAAAGGACAGAAGCAAGAGGAAACGUGAAAUCAUGGACAGCGGAGCAUUAGCUUUCCACCAGGAGGGCUCUACGUCUGUUAUCCGAUACCAGCCACGUGUGACUACUGAGCGCUCUCAGUGGGGCCAGCUUGAAUUGGACUGUGUUGUAAAUGUGAAAGACACACCAGAUCCCGAAGACUGAACGAUCUUGUUAAUUUUUACAAUGCUGACAUGUCAAAGUGAUAAUAUUUUGGAUAUAUUGGAUUAAAUAAAAUAGAAUAUUAAAAUUGA